GAUGAAGAACGUAGCGAAAUGCGAUACUUGGUGUGAAUUGCAGAAUCCCGUGAACCAUCGAGUCUUUGAACGUAAGUUGCGCCCGAAGCCAUCAGGUUGAGGGCACGUCUGCCUGGGCGUCACAUAUCGUUGCUCGAUGCCUAUCGCAUUGCGAUAGGACUUAGGGCGAAUGAUGGCUUCCCGUGAGCGUUGUUGCCUCGCGGUUGGUUGAAAAUCGAGUGCAUGGUGUCGGGUGUACCAUGAUGGAUGGUGGUUGAGUGAUGAUGCUCGAGACCAAUCAUGGGUAACUCCACCAGAAUUGGGCUCGGUGACCCACAUGCGUCCCUUGGAUGCUCCCUAAGGAGACCUCAGGUCAGGCGGGGCUACCCGCUGAGUUUAAGCAUAUCAAUAAGCGGAGGA
rnacentral:misc_RNA from 1 species